rnacentral:rRNA from 1 species
GACGAACGCGGCGGCGUGCGUAAUACAUGCAAGUAGAACGCUGAAGAGAGGAGCUUGCUCUUCUUGGAUGAGUUGCGAACGGGUGAGUAACGCGUAGGUAACCUGCCUUGUAGCGGGGGAUAACUAUUGGAAACGAUAGCUAAUACCGCAUAACAAUGGAUGACACAUGUCAUUUAUUUGAAAGGGGCAAUUGCUCCACUACAAGAUGGACCUGCGUUGUAUUAGCUAGUAGGUGAGGUAACGGCUCACCUAGGCGACGAUACAUAGCCGACCUGAGAGGGUGAUCGGCCACACUGGGACUGAGACACGGCCCAGACUCCUACGGGAGGCAGCAGUAGGGGAUCUUCGGCAAUGGGGGCAACCCUGACCGAGCAACGCCGCGUGAGUGAAGAAGGUUUUCGGAUCGUAAAGCUCUGUUGUAAGUCAAGAACGAGUGUGAGAGUGGAAAGUUCACACUGUGGCGGUAGCUUACCAGAAAGGGACGGCUAACUACGUGCCAGCAGCCGCGGUAAUACGUAGGUCCCGAGCGUUGUCCGGAUUUAUUGGGCGUAAAGCGAGCGCAGGCGGUUUGAUAAGUCUGAAGUUAAAGGCUGUGGCUCAACCAUAGUUCGCUUUGGAAACUGUCAAACUUGAGUGCAGAAGGGGAGAGUGGAAUUCCAUGUGUAGCGGUGAAAUGCGUAGAUAUAUGGAGGAACACCGGUGGCGAAAGCGGCUCUCUGGUCUGUAACUGACGCUGAGGCUCGAAAGCGUGGGGAGCGAACAGG